GGAUUUAGCUAAAUGUCCUAAAAGCACCAACUCUCAUCUGAUCAUGGAAACUAAGCAGGAUCAAUCCUAGUUAGUGCUUAGAUGGGAGAAUUACCAUUGAAUAACUGGGCUGCAGUCUA
rnacentral:rRNA from 11 species